rnacentral:lncRNA from 10 species
AGCCCAGGGAAAGCUUCUUUUCAGGCAGGGUGUGGGUGUGGGUGUGCGCAUGAGCACCAUGUGUGAGGCAGGGAAUGAAGGCUUGGCACGCCACUUUAGAUGGUGGCUGAGAAUCAGAUGUGCCUGCAUCUGGUGGGAUAGACUGUCUCACAUCUGCCCAUUCUCUCACCAAGCCUACGUUAUAGGAGUCUCCUAACUGGACUCUCCACUUCUAGCCCACUUUCCAUCCAGCAUUCAGAGUGACCUCUAAAAAAUGUGCACCUCGUUAUGUCAUUCUCAUGACUAUGAACCCUUCAAUGGCUGCUCGGCCUCCAAAUAAAAUCCAAACUCACUAAAUCCUGCACAUUCUGGCCCUUGCCCAGCUCAAGUCCCUCUGCAUGGGGCCCCCACCACCCUGGCCAGCUUCCCAUGCCUCAGAGGCAGUAGACUCAGCUCCCCCAGGGCCUCCACCACCCACUCCC